rnacentral:rRNA from 1 species
GAUGAACGCUGGCGGCGUGCCUAAUACAUGCAAGUCGAACGGAAAGGCGAGGCGCUUGCUGCUCUGACGUUAGCGGAGGGGGGGUGUGUAACACGUGUAUACCCUCCCUGUCAGACUGGGAUAACUUCGAGACACCGGAGCUUAUACCGUAUGAUAUCUUGCACCGCAGUGGUCAAUGGUGAAAGACGGUGGUGCGGUCACGUCUAGCUGGUUCCCCGCUGCAUUAGCUAGUUGGUACGGUAAAGGCUUACCAAGGCAACGAUGCGUAGCCGAGGUGAGAGGGUGAUCGGCCACACUGGAACGGAGCCACGGUCCAGACUCCUACGGGACGCAGCAGUAGCGAAUCGUCCGCAAUGGGCGAAAGCCUUACGCAGCAACGGCGCGUGAGUGAUGAAGGUCUUGGGAUCGGAAAGCUGUGUUAUUAGGGAAGAACAGCUGUGUCAGGAACCGUGCAGUGCUUGACGGUACCUAAUCAGAAAGCACCGGCUAACUACGUG